CAGUAGCCACGGUAACACGAAGGGGGCUAGCGUUGUUCGGAUUUACUGGGCGUAAAGGGCGCGUAGGCGGAUAUUUAAGUCAGGGGUGAAAUCCCAGAGCUCAACUCUGGAACUGCCUUUGAUACUGGGUAUCUUGAGUAUGGAAGAGGUGAGUGGAAUUCCGAGUGUAGAGGUGAAAUUCGUAGAUAUUCGGAGGAACACCAGUGGCGAAGGCGACUCUCUGGUAUGUAACUGACGCUGAGGAGCGAAAGCGUGGGGAGCGAACAGGAUUAGAUACCCCAGUAGUCCCUGUCUCUUAUAC
rnacentral:rRNA from 1 species